rnacentral:rRNA from 1 species
UCGAAGGGGGCUAGCGUUGCUCGGAAUUACUGGCGUAAAGCGCACGUAGGCGGCUUCUUAAGUCAGGGGUGAAAUCCUGGAGCUCAACUCCAGAACUGCCUUUGAUACUGAGGAGCUUGAGUCCGGGAGAGGUGAGUGGAACUGCGAGUGUAGAGGUGAAAUUCGUAGAUAUUCGCAAGAACACCAGUGGCAAAGGCGGCUCACUGGCCCGGUACUGACGCUGAGGUGCGAAAGCGUGGGGAGCAAACAGG